CCUACGGGUGGCAGCAGUGAGGAAUAUUGGUCAAUGGGCGCGAGCCUGAACCAGCCAAGUAGCGUGAAUGAUGACUGCCCUACGUGUUGUAAACUUCUUUUAUAAAGGAAUAAAGUGAGGCACGUGUGCCUUUUUGUCUGUACUUUAUGGAUAAAGAUCGGCUAACUACGUGCCAGCGGCCGCGGUAAUACGGAGGAUCCGGGCGUUAUCCGGAUUUAUUGGGUUUAAAGGGAGCGUAGAUGGGUUGUUAAGUCAGUUGUGAAAGUUUGCGGCUCAACCGUAAGAUUGCAAUUGAUACUGGCAGGCUUGAGUACAGUUGAGGUAGGCGGAAUUCGUGGUGUAGCGGUGAAAUGCUUAGAUAUCACGAAGAACUCCGAUUGCGAAGGCAGCUUACUAAACUGCUACUGACACUGAUGCUCGAAAGUGUGGGUAUCAAAUAGGAUUAGAUACCCCGGUAGUC
rnacentral:rRNA from 1 species